rnacentral:lncRNA from 1 species
CCCGCGCCCGCGCGGAGAAUUGAGUGUCCCCCAGGUGAAGCAAGCCUAAGUGAUGGUUACCACGGCAACGCGAGGGCUGGAUUGUUCCAGAGAAGCAGGCCUUUGGUUCACGUGAGCGGUUAGGGGUGUGGCUCUAACCUAGGAAGCUUGGAGAGGCUACAGAUGGCCUGUGAGAUGGACGCUUGCCAAGGUUGUUGACUUGCCAAGGCCAAGGCGCUGGAGGAUCCCUGCCGGGUAGAAGUCUUGGGGUCAUGUGAGAACGGGUUGGCGGUGGGUGGUCCGGAGUACAAGGAGCCACACUGGGGUGCGAAGUGCCGCAGGAGGGGUUAGCGGCCAAGUGGACAUCAUGUAGAUCCCUGUUCGGUUGCAAGGUGAGCUUGAGCAGAUGUGCACCAUGGAUGCAUGGAUGCCUUGUAAUUGUCUAUGGAGACCUAUUGUCCUAAUUACUUCUCAGUUGUCCUGACAAAGCACCAUGGCCAAGGCAACUCAAUAGAAGGAAAAGUUUUCUGCUUCCAGUUUCAGAGGACCAUGACCAUCGUAACGCGGAGCAUGACAGCAGGCAAACCGGGAUGGCGCUGGAGCAGCAGCUGAGAGCUUACAUUGUGGCUCAUAAGCUGAAAGAGACUACAGGGUAUUGUGUGGGCUUUUGAAACCUUAAAGUCCACACCACUGUCACCCCUGCCCCAAGAAAACUUAUCUCCUAAUCCUUGCCAAACAGUUCUACCAAAUGGGGACCAAGCAUUCAAAUACAUGAAACUGUAGGGGUCAUUCCGAUUCAACCAUACACAAGACCCCCCCCACACACAACUUUAUUUCUUUAUUACUUAUUUUUGUGUUGGGUUUGGUUUGGUUUGCCUUUGGUUGGUUAUUGUUUGCUUGCUUGUUUUGAGGCAAGGUUUGUCUAACAGUCCUGGCUGUCCUGGAACUCACUUUGUGGCCCAGGCUGGCCUCGAACUCACAGCUCUGCCUGCAUCUGCCUCUUAAGUGUUGGUAUUAAAGUGUGUUCCACCAUCA